UCGGCUUAAACGCCAAAUGAGCUCGCGUUGGAGACCACGCCGAAAUGCCACUCCGGCUGACGUUGCUACUUUGCCCCUCAUCGAACCGACUGCACCCUGUUUCCGUUACGCUUGGCCGUUGGGUCUUCAAGUCAAGGCCUUGGAUCCAGGCCAACCCCCCAGCUAAAAAGGAAGGGAGGAGGAGACGGUUCGGUGAUGAACGGCAGGAAGAAGCAGGGCCGGGACAACCACAAGGCAUCGUAGGGCCGCAGCGACCGCAAGUCGGGGUCCGGGAUGAGCGGCGAUGCCAAGAAGGGCGGUCACGGCAGAAAGUUCACCUGGGAGGGCGUCGAUGGCUACACGGACGAGGACCUCGACCUCGUCGCCAGCAAGGGCCCGGGGACCGAUGCCCGUGCCUCCGGCAAGAACAAGUCCUAGGGAGAGGGUGAUGCCCUGCCCCGCCCGCCCGUCGCCGUCCGAUAGAUAGCUUUAAUUAGCGUUCUCAAUCGUGUCAGCUCUUCAAAUAAUUAUAUAGAUCGUGGUGUGGCGUGUUUGGCAUGUAGAUAUGAUCUGAUCUAGUAUUUCCAGUUGUGGGCUUCACUUGUCUUGUCUUGUGUUCUAGAUCUCGCACUUAACUUGUGUUCAACCUUGUCUUUUGUUUCUGUCA